rnacentral:lncRNA from 1 species
AUGACAGGCAUACAGAGAGAAGCAAAGACAUAGGCAGAGGGGAGCUCUGCGGGAGCUCCCUGCCAGGAGCCUGAUGCGGAACUCGAUCCCAGGACCUGAGCCAAAGGCAGACGCUCAACCACCGAGCCACCCAGGGGUCCCUGGAUUGACUCCAUUCUUAAGAAUGGUGUUUAUUACGUUGCGGAAUCCUGUGGGAACAUACCGCCAAUGGUGUAACAAAAUCAGAGGGAAAACUGGAUUUGAUUUCUAGAAAUCUGUGGCACUGCCGACCCCUCCCGAAGCACACUUUUCUGUAAAGCGAGAACUCCCAGCAGCAGAAGCGGAGCCUGCUCCCAGGCAGCGACCAGCGCUGUAGAGCACAGAGCAUCCCCAACCGCCGCCGCCCCGCCCACUGACAGUGUCUAUAAAUCCAUUUCCUGUCUUGUAAUUAUGUUUCAUGUAGUAAUUAGCCCCUUCAUAUCAAUGAAGCCAAAUUUCCAUGUGUAAUGGAGUGAAGCCUGAGUGUGUGAGACAAAUGGAAACGCAGCUUUGGCAGGUGGGGGUCUCCAAGAGCUCCCUGGGGGCAGGGAGGACCGUCCUCUGCAUGCAGAGUCCUACUGCGCAUCAGGCUCGGCGCCCGGCCCUUUGCACAGCCUAUUUCCUAUAGUCCUCACAAUGAUGUCUUUUCUGCAGAACCUUCACCUUUGCCUCCAUCGUCAGAGUGCAGCUUCUGCACCCCUCAACCCAAUCUUCCCUUCCGGAAUCGCCUCUGUACCACCCGCCCUUCACAGCCCGGAGCCAGGUAGCAUGCACGGAGCUGGCAGCAGGGUGGGCAAGAGGCUCAGAAGACAUCCCAGGGUCCCAGGAGCCCAGAGACCCCGCUGUGGGAGAAACCUUCGCGGCAUCCCCCCACAUCAAGACAGCUGCAGCUCUCACCAAGGACAGACAUUUGAAAUAGAUGGAUAUCGCCUACGUGUAUUUAUGGGGCACAGGAUCCUUCCCACCCACCUGUGUGUGUUGUAAUCUUUUUGACAGAGGAGAGGAGGACAGUUUCAGGAACUUCAAAGUGACAGCUUCGACUUGCUAAUGGAAGGUCAGCGUUUUCAACUUACCUUUGAUCACAUUUUUAACUUAUAUAGAAGAUAUAUAUCUGUGGACCAAAGAAUAUGUGUGGGUAAAGUGGAUUGGAAAAUAUCCUAAUAGCCUCAAAUCUAAGUUACAAAAAGUAAUUUCACACAUAUCUUUCCAUUAACUAUUCACGUCAACCCUGAGAGGUAGCUAGGGCAAGCAUUUUUAUUCCCAUUUUGCAGAUGAGAAAACUGAGGCCUGGUGAGGUUAAGGUAUAUGAUUUAUGUUAUAUGUUUUGUCAAUAAAGACAAACCUCAACUCCCA